rnacentral:rRNA from 1 species
AGCGAACGCUGGCGGCAGGCUUAACACAUGCAAGUCGAACGGGCGUAGCAAUACGUCAGUGGCAGACGGGUGAGUAACGCGUGGGAACGUACCUUUUGGUUCGGAACAACCCAGGGAAACUUGGGCUAAUACCGGAUAAGCCCUUACGGGGAAAGAUUUAUCGCCGAAAGAUCGGCCCGCGUCUGAUUAGCUAGUUGGUGUGGUAACGGCGCACCAAGGCGACGAUCAGUAGCUGGUCUGAGAGGAUGAUCAGCCACAUUGGGACUGAGACACGGCCCAAACUCCUACGGGAGGCAGCAGUGGGAAUAUUGGACAAUGGGCGCAAGCCUGAUCCAGCCAUGCCGCGUGAGUGAUGAAGGCCCUAGGGUUGUAAAGCUCUUUUGUGCGGGAAGAUAAUGACGGUACCGCAAGAAUAAGCCCCGGCUAACUUCGUGCCAGCAGCCGCCGCGGUAAG